UUGACGGGGCCCGCACAAGCGGAGGAGCAUGUGGUUUAAUUCGAUGAUACGCGAGGAACCCUACCUGGGCUCGAACGUAAGAUGACUGUAGGUGAAAGCUUACAUCUCUUCGGAGCAUUUUACGAGGUGCUGCAUGGUUGUCGUCAGCUCGUGCCGUGAGGUGUCGGGUUAAGUCCCAUAACGAGCGCAACCCUACCUUUAGUUGCCAUCAGGUUAAGCUGGGACUCUAAAGGAACUGCCUACGCAAGUAGUGAGGAAGCGGGGAUGACGUCAAAUCAGCACGGCCCUUACGUCCAGGGCUACACACGUGCUACAAUGGCCGAUACAGAGGGCAGCUACCUGGUGACAGGAUGCAAAUCUCCAAAGUCGGUCUCAGUUCGGAUCGGAGUCUGCAACCCGACUCCGUGAAGCUGGAAUCGCUAGUAAUCGCGCAUCAGCCAUGGCGCGGUGAAUACGUUCCCGGGCCUU
rnacentral:rRNA from 1 species